rnacentral:rRNA from 1 species
UGGGGAAUAUUGCACAAUGGGGGAAACCCUGAUGCAGCAACGCCGCGUGAAGGAUGAAGGUUUUCGGAUUGUAAACUUCUUUUGUACGGGACGAAACAAAUGACGGUACCGUAAGAAUAAGCCACGGCUAACUACGUGCCAGCAGCCGCGGUAAUACGUAGGUGGCAAGCGUUAUCCGGAUUUACUGGGUGUAAAGGGCGAGUAGGCGGGACUGCAAGUCAGAUGUGAAAACUAUGGGCUUAACCCAUAGACUGCAUUUGAAACUGUGGUUCUUGAGUGAUGGAGAGGCAGGCGGAAUUCCCGGUGUAGCGGUGGAAUGCGUAGAUAUCGGGAGGAACACCAGUGGCGAAGGCGGCCUGCUGGACAUUAACUGACGCUGAGGCGCGAAAGUGUGGGGAGC